GAUAGGGGCAUCAAAUUAAUGUUUGACCUUAAAUCAAGUAGAGCUUUCCCUAUUUUCACAUUCCCAAUGGUGCAAGGAACUUCCUGGAUCCUUCGCUUUUGGAGGACAUGAUUUCUUCAACAAGACACUGCAACUACCCUGUUCAUCAGUAACUUUCGCAUCUAGAUAUAUCUUUUCUGUGAGGAACUGCUUUAUACACUUUGCAUAGGCAGGAAUUUGCUGCAGUGCUUCAGUCAACGGUAUAGUAAUCUCCAAGUGAUUGAAGAUCUCUCUAAAAUGCUCACAUUGUCUCUCUUUAUCUACUCUCUCACGCCCCUUUGGAUAAGGAAGAUUUUUUCAUCUUUUUCAAUUUUUUUCUCUCCCCUCUUCUUAUCUUCUUUUUCCAUCUCACCCUUACAAAUUUUCUCUUCUUUUUCCUCUAUCUUCUCUAACUCACCGUUCUCUUUUUUCUCUUCCACUC
rnacentral:lncRNA from 1 species